rnacentral:rRNA from 1 species
GUCUUUUAAUUGGAGACUUGUAUGAAUGAUUUGAUGAAAUAUAAACUGUCUCUAUAUUAAAAAUAGAAUUUAAUUUUUUAGUUAAAAAGCUAAAAUUUGUUUAAAAGACGAGAAGACCCUGUAGAGUUUUAUAUUUAAAAUUAUAUUAAUUUUUUAUAAAAUUUUUAUUUAUUAUUUUUUUUAAAUAUUUUAUUGGGGUGAUAGAAAAAUUUAAUAAACUUUUUUUAAAAAUUUUACAUUAAUAUAUGAAAUUUUGAUCCAUAAUUUAUGAUUAAAAGAAUAAAUUACCUUAGGGAUAACAGCGUAAUUUUUUUUUUUAGUUCUUAUAAGAAAAAAAGUUUGCGACCUCGAUGUUGGAUUAAG